UGCACUACCCCAUGGCCGUGGGCCUCAACAAAGGCCACAAGGUGACCAAGAACGUGAGGAAACCAAGGCACAGCCAAGCGGGCGCCUCAGCAAACACCAAAAUCGCGCAAGACAUGCCCCGAGAGGUGUGUGGCUUUGUCCCAUAGAGCGGUGUGCUGUGGAGUUGCUCAAGCUCUCCCAGGACAAACAGGCCCUCAAGUUCAUCAGGAAAAGGGUGGGGGGCACACUUCCCCCCCAAGAGAAAGUGAGAGAGCCUGUGCAAUGUCCCGGCCCCGCCCUGAGGAAAGCAGCUGCCAGGGACUG
rnacentral:lncRNA from 1 species